GGUUAUGCAAAGAGGCUCUCAUGCCUGAGGUUCAGAAGUCCCAGGUUCAGUCCCCCACACCACCAUAAGCCAGAGCUGAGCAGUGCGCUGGUGUUUCCCUCUUUUUCUUUUCUUUUUUUUUAUUUUAUUUAUUUUUACUUAUUUAUUUUUAACCAGAGCACUGUUCAGCUCUGGCUUAUGGUGCUGUGGGAGAUUGAACCUAGGACUUUGGAGCCUCAGGCAUGAGAGUCUGUUUGCAUAACC
rnacentral:pre_miRNA from 1 species